rnacentral:rRNA from 1 species
GAUGAACGCUGGCGGCGUGCCUAAUACAUGCAAGUCGAGCGAACAGACGAGGAGCUUGCUCCUCUGACGUUAGCGGCGGACGGGUGAGUAACACGUGGAUAACCUACCUAUAAGACUGGGAUAACGUCGGGAAACCGGAGCUAAUCCCGGUUAAUAUAUUGAACCGCAUGGUUCAAUAGUGAAAGACGGUUUUGCUGUCACUUAUAGAUGGAUCCGCGCCGCAUUAGCUAGUUGGUAAGGUAACGGCUUACCAAGGCAACGAUGCGUAGCCGACCUGAGAGGGUGAUCGGCCACACUGGCACUGAGACACGGUCCAGACUCCUACGGGAGGCAGCAGUAGGGAAUCUUCAGCAAUGGGCGAAAGCUUGACGGAGCAACGCCGCGUGAGUGAUGAAGGUCUUCGGAUCGUAAAACUCUGUUAUUAGGGAAGAACAAAUGUGUAAGUAACUAUGCACGUCUUGACGGUACCUAAUCAGAAAGCCACGGCUAACUACGUG